rnacentral:snoRNA from 1 species
AUGCAGACAGUUAUCCCUCACCGUGCUGCCGUGCGCUCUGAGGGAGUCAGUCUGCUACAGGAACUCUCAGCCAUGA